UACGUAGGUGGCAAGCGUUGUCCGGAAUUAUUGGGCGUAAAGGGCGCGUAGGCGGCUCAUGAAGGCUGUGGUGAAAGUCCGGGGCUCAACCUCGGAUCGGCCGUGGCGACUCGUGGGCUGGAGCACUGUAGAGGCGGGUGGAAUUCCGGGUGUAGCGGUGGAAUGCGUAGAGAUCCGGAAGAACACCAGUGGCGAAGGCGGCCCGCUGGGCAGUGGCUGACGCUGAGGCGCGACAGCGUGGGGAGCAAACAGG
rnacentral:rRNA from 1 species